AGAACGAACGCUGGCGGCAGGCCUCAAACAUGCAAGUCUAGGGGGUGUAGCAAUACAUCACCGGCGGACGGGUGCGUAACGCGUGGGAAUAUACCUAUUGGUUCGGAACAACUGAGGGAAACUUCAGCUAAAUACCGAAUGUGCCCUAACGGGGAAAGAUUUAUCGCCAAUGGAUUAGCCCGCGUUCGAUUAGCUAGUUGGUGGGGUAACGGCUCACCAAGGCUACGAUCGAUAGCUGUUCUGAGAGGAAGAUCAGCCACACUGGGACUGAGACACGGCCCAGACUCCUACGGGAGGCAGCAGUUGGGAAUCUGGACAAUGGGGAACCCUGAUCCAGCCAUGCCGCGUGAGUGAUGAAGGCCUUCGGGUUGUAAAACUCUUUCGCGCACGACGAUAAUGACGGUAGUGCGAGAAGAAGCUCCGGCUAACUUCGCGCCAGCAGCCGC
rnacentral:rRNA from 1 species